rnacentral:rRNA from 1 species
AUACGGAGGGUCCAAGCGUUAUCCGGAAUCAUUGGGUUUAAAGGGUCCGCAGGCGGUCAAUUAAGUCAGAGGUGAAAGCCCAUCGCUCAACAAUGGAACUGCCUUUGAUACUGGUUGACUUGAGUUAUACGGAAGUAGAUAGAAUAAGUAGUGUAGCGGUGAAAUGCAUAGAUAUUACUUAGAAUACCGAUUGCGAAGGCAGUCUACUACGUAUAUACUGACGCUGAGGGACGAAAGCGUGGGGAGCGAACAGGAUUAGAAACCCUAGUAGUCC